rnacentral:rRNA from 1 species
GAUGAACGCUGGCGGCGUGCCUAAUACAUGCAAGUCGAGCGAACAGACGAGGAGCUUGCUCCUCUGACGUUAGCGGCGGACGGGUGAGUAACACGUGGAUAACCUACCUAUAAGACUGGGAUAACUUCGGGAAACCGGAGCUAAUACCGGAUAAUAUAUUGAACCGCAUGGUUCAAUAGUGAAAGACGGUUUUGCUGUCACUUAUAGAUGGAUCCGCGCCGCAUUAGCUAGUUGGUAAGGUAACGGCUUACCAAGGCAACGAUGCGUAGCCGACCUGAGAGGGGGUUCGGCCACACUGGAACUGGGACACGGUCCAGACUCCUACGGGAGGCAGCAGUAGGGAAUCUUCGGCAAUGGGCGAAAGCCUGACGGAGCAACGCCGCGUGAGUGAUGAAGGUCUUCGGAUCGUAAAACUCUGUUAUUAGGGAAGAACAAAUGUGUAAGUAAAUGUGCACGUAUUGACGGUACCUAAUCAGAAAGCCACGGCUAACUACGUG